CCCCCGAAACUAGGUGAGCCACUUUCGAAAUAGCUNUAGAGCUAACCCGUCUCUGUUGCAAAAGAGUGGGAAAAUUUCCAAGUCGGGGCGAUAAACCUACCGCACCAAGAGAUAGCUGGUUACUCAAGAAAAGAAUAUUAGUUCUACCUCAAGUUUAUUAGUCCCCAUAAACCUCAACUAAACUUAAGAGCUAUUCAAAUAAGGCACAGCUUAUUUGAAAAAGGGUACAACCUCUUACAUUGGGUAAUUUACCAAGAAAAAUUGUCAAGUGGGCCUAAAAGCAGCCACCUUUUAAAAAGCGUUAAAGCUUCACUAUUAUUCUUGUAAAAUAACCUUAUUAACAUACAACCCAUUAUUAAUAUUGAGUAACUCCAUAAAAAUAUGGAAGAUAUAAUGCUAGAACUAGUAACAAGAAGCUGAGCUUCUCCAAAAUGUAAGCUUAAGCCACCUUAGACAAACUAUUGGCAAUUAACGUUUAUGAAUUCACUUUAUCAACCACACAAGAAAACCUUAAAUAUCUUAACGUUAAACUUACACCAGAACAUUUAUGGAAAGAUCAAAAGAAAAAGAAGGAACUCGGCAAACACUAACCCCGCCUGUUUACCAAAAACAUCGCCUCUUGUCUAAAUCUAAGAGGUCCAGCCUGCCCAGUGACAAAUUUAACGGCCGCGGUACCCUAACCGUGCAAAGGUAGCAUAAUCACUUGUUCUCUAAAUAAGGACUUGUAUCAACGGCACCACGAGGGUUAAACUGUCUCCUUUUUCAUAUCAGUGAAACUAAUCUCCCCGUGAAGAAGCGGGAAUAAUUCUAUAAGACGAGAAGACCCCAUGGAGCUUUAAACCCAACUACACCCCCUUCAACCCAACCUUUAAAAUUAUGGGGCCCUGUAUGUUCUGGUUUUAGGUUGGGGUGACCACGGAGCAUAAACUAGCCUCCACAAUGAACAAGACUCCUCUCUUUAUCUAAGACCCACACCUCUAAGAAUUAGCACUCUAACAUAAAAUGAUCCGAUAUUCGAUCAACGAAC
rnacentral:rRNA from 1 species